rnacentral:tRNA from 1 species
GCGGGCGUAGCGUAACCUGGUUAUCGCGCCUCCCUGUCACGGAGGAGACUACGGGUUCAAAUCCCGUCGCCCGCG